GCUUAUUAUGACAUGGUGACUGACAGUGAUAUGGUGACUGAGUGUGUGGGGGGAGGGGUGGUGAUGUGACAGGAUGACUGUGUCGGUAGGUGAUGUGACUAGGUGACUGAGUGUGUGUUGAGGAGGGCUGAUGUGACAGAGUAACUGAGUGUGUAGGUGAGUGGUGUGACUGAGACAGGGAGUACAUUGCAUGUGGGGGAGGGGUGAUGGGACAGGGUGACUGAGUUUGUGGGGGAGGGGUGAUGUGACAGGGUGACUGAGUGUGUGGGGAGGGGUGAGACUGUGACACAGUUACUGAGUGAAGGGGUGAUAUGACAGGGUUCUGCUAAGGCUGCUUGGAGUAGAGAGCUGACAUUUCAGCUGUGAGAAGGUCAUAGUGUGGCAGCUGUGAGUGUUGUUGCACUGUGACUUUCAGAAGUAACUAUAGGCAUA